rnacentral:tRNA from 1 species
GCCCUGGUAGCUCAAUUGGUCAGAGCGUCGGACUUUUACAACCCAUCUGCGUUCUGAGCGAUCCGAAGGCUGCGGGUUCGACCCCCGCCUGGGGCG